UUACUUACCUGGACAGGAUCUAUGGGUGGUCAAGAAGGCCCAUGGUCUAGACUUACGGUCAUCAUUGCACUUUGAUGAUGCGUAUUUCUAAGGUCAGCUUUAUGAGUUGAGCCUGUGUCAUAAUUUGUGUUAGUGGGGGCCUGCGUUCGCGCGGCCCCUUU